GAUGAACGCUGGCGGCGUGCCUAAUACAUGCAAGUCGAGCGAACAGACGAGGAGCUUGCUCCUCUGACGUUAGCGGCGGACGGGUGAGUAACACGUGGAUAACCUACCUAUAAGACUGGGAUAACUUCGGGAAACCGGAGCUAAUACCGGAUAAUAUAUUGAACCGCAUGGUUCAAUAGUGAAAGACGGUUUUGCUGUUACUUAUAGAUGGAUCCGCGCCGCAUUAGCUAGUUGGUGAGGUAACGGCUUACCAAGGCAACGAUGCGUAGCCGACCUGAGAGGGUGAUCGGCCACACUGGAACUGAGACACGGUCCAGACUCCUACGGGAGGCAGCAGUAGGGAAUCUUCCGCAAUGGGCGAAAGCCUGACGGAGCAACGCCGCGUGAGUGAUGAAGGUCUUCGGAUCGUAAAACUCUGUUAUUAGGGAAGAACAAAUGUGUAAGUAACUAUGCACGUCUUGACGGUACCUAAUCAGAAAGCCACGGCUAACUACGUG
rnacentral:rRNA from 1 species